AAAUUUGAUACCACUGCUCUAAAGGCACCAGAUCACAUAUGAUCUUGGAAGAUAAGCAGUAUUAGCUCUGGUUACUACCUGGAUGGGACACUGCCAAUGAAUACCAAAUGUUGUAGGCU
rnacentral:rRNA from 1 species